CAGCCGCCGCGGUAAUACGUAGGUGGCAAGCGUUGUCCGGAAUUAUUGGGCGCAAAGGGCUCGCAGGCGGUCUCUUAAGUCUGAUGUGAAAGCCCCUGGCUCAACCGGGGAGGGUCAUUGGAAACUGGGAAACUUGAGUGCAGAAGAGGAGAGUGGAAUUCCACGUGUAGCGGUGAAAUGCGUAGAGAUGUGAGGAACACCAGUGGCGAAGGCGACUCUCUGGUCUGUAACUGACGCUGAGGAGCGAAAGCGUGGGGAGCGAACAGGAUUAGAUACCCGUGUAGUCCCUGUCUCUUAUACA
rnacentral:rRNA from 1 species